GACGAACCGUGCGAACGUUGUUCGGAUUCACUGGGCUUAAAGGGCGCGUAGGCGGGUUACCAAGUCAGGGGUGAAAUCUUUCGGCUCAACCGGAAAAGUGCCCCUGAUACUGGUAGUCUUGAGGGAGGUAGGGGCAUGUGGAACUUCCGGUGGAGCGGUGAAAUGCGUAGAUAUCGGAAGGAACGCCGGUGGCGAAAGCGACGUGCUGGCCCUCUUCUGACGCUGAGGCGCGAAAGCUAGGGGAGCGAACGGG
rnacentral:rRNA from 1 species